rnacentral:lncRNA from 1 species
UGAGAGUCUCUUGGACAGCAAGGAGAUCAAACCAGUCAAUCUUAAAGGAAGUCGACCCUGAAUAGUCAUUGGAAGGUCUGACGCUGAAGUUGAAGGUCCAAUCCUUUGGCCACCUGAUGUGAAGAACUGACUCACUGGAAAACAGCCUUAUGCUGGGACAGAUUGAGAGAAGAAGGAGAAGCGGACCGCUGAGGAUGAGGUGGCUGGAUGGCAUCAGUGACUCAAUGGACACGAGUUUGAGCAAAUUCAAGAGAACGUGAAGGACAGGGAAGCCUGCUAUGCUGCAAUCCAUGAGGUUGCAAAAGAGUCAGACACGAUUUAGCGACCGAACAAUAGCAAAAUCGAGAUAGUGUGUGUGAAGCAUCUAGCCCAUGGCUCAAACCUAAGUGCUACUUUACUGCCGGCAACCGCGCUCUAAAGUGAUACAGUAUGACUGCUGAGUACACUGCUAGAGCCUCUUGGCUGGUGAUUCAACUAAGAUAAAUUAUGACAGAGACUUUCACAACAGUGGCGGGUGUGCUUGGUAUUAAUACAGAGAAGAGCAAGGGUCCCACCGGUCCUAAUCAUAAUGGUUGAUCCCAUGUUCAGUUACUCAAUGAUCAGUGGCAGAAACAUCCGGGCAAGAGCCACUCCUUUUUACCAUGGGCAUUAAUUCACCGAUCGGUGUGAAACUAGAUGCUUUACUUAAGCUUUCUGCCAGAAGUUCCAUUUCUGUGAGGGGGCUUCUAAGCGAUCCUUUGUAGGACAUACUGAGCUGCUGGGAUAGAGUAUGUCCAAAGGAAACUCUGGUCUGUUCCCAGCAUAAUGCUUCAUGCAGUCUUCCCCUAAGAAGAAAGAGUAAAGACUGGGACAAAUACAGAAGGAUGUGCUUUGGAGGAUCUGCCACGGAGGAUGCUCAUUUCAAGUCAAUGUCACAGGUUCACUUCAUCUUCUCACCCUAUCACGUGUCCAAGGGAUGAACGUUUGGCUAUUUUAGCGAUGAAAAUGGCACCUCAGACCGCUUAAUUCCAUUUUUUGUCCAGCUUCGAAGAUGGAGGUCCUGGUGUCAUCUGCACCUGCCUUGCAAGCUCUGUACUCGGGGCAUCACUAACCCCUCUGAUUCUUUCUUCUCUUCCUCCCUCCCCUUCUAUUUCUCCCCUCCUUUUCCCUCCUCAUCUGCUCNNNNNNNNNNNNNNNNNNNNNAUAUUAAACACGAAUUUCCUCAAGAGCCCCCCUCCCUUUCUCACUUAAGUACAAACAUCCUUAACUGACUUUCAAGACACCUUUAAGGGUAACUUUCAAGAUACCUUUUCUUAGGUUCUUUACUGGCAGUUCUUUACUGUAACCUUAGUUAAAUAUUAACCUGGUAAUUAAUAUUAACCUAUUUAUGUAAUCCCCCCAGGCAAUUUGUGAUUCCUGAAUAGGUAACAUUUAACUUUAGAAGCCACCCCCAUAUCU